UAAGAGUUACAAAUACUCUACCAACGCUAAUUCUUUCCUGCUCUUCUAACCUCCAUUUAGAAAAGUGAGCUAUGCACACAAAGCAGUAAUAAUAAAAGCAGAAAUGGUGUCUUCUGAAAUGUCUUUUUUCAGGACUUUCGAAGGUCACAGUCAAGAUAAUGAACAAAAAGUGCCUAACAGGGGCAAGAUGAAAAACACUGAUUAGAAAGGACAGUCUCAAAAUUGCAAUAUAAUGGCUUAAAGCCCCCCACCCCCGAGGAUUUCAGCACAAGAAAAAAAGGAUUAUUCAGCCUGAUUUGUGCAGAUACUGUAUAAAACAUAUGAAGAGAGAAAGAGCAAGCAGGUCAAAAGCAUCAUGGAGCCAGCAAACAGGGCCUUCUAACAGGGUUAGCAGUUUGCAGGCAUUUGCUGGGGGCAAGAGGAGGAAGGAGAAGAGAAGCCAGGCACCAGAUCUUUCUCAGGGAAGGUGAAGACCGCCACAGUGCUUUCUCCGGUGGUGCCUCCUCGCACACAAGAGGGACUCUCCACAGACAUCCAAAGAAUUAUCUCAAUAUUGUUCUUCAAAUCCUUCCUUCCCGUUACUCUAUUUUCUACCACAAACACAACAGCAAAACAAAACAAACCACUUGAUAAAGUGUAGGCUGCUGAUGUACUAUGACUACUAUCUAUCAUGCUGACCAGUAUUGUUUCACUGUUUCCUCUUACGC